ACGCUGGCGGCGUGCUUAACACAUGCAAGUCGAACGAUGAAGCCUAGCUUGCUAGGUGGAUUAGUGGCGAACGGGUGAGUAAUACGUGAGUAACCUACCUUUAACUCUGGGAUAAGCCUGGGAAACUGGGUCUAAUACCGGAUACGACCAAUCUCCGCAUGGGGUGUUGGUGGAAAGCGUUAUGUAGUGGUUAUAGAUGGGCUCACGGCCUAUCAGCUUGUUGGUGAGGUAACGGCUCACCAAGGCGACGACGGGUAGCCGGCCUGAGAGGGUGACCGGCCACACUGGGACUGAGACACGGCCCAGACUCCUACGGGAGGCAGCAGUGGGGAAUAUUGCACAAUGGGCGCAAGCCUGAUGCAGCGACGCCGCGUGAGGGAUGACGGCCUUCGGGUUGUAAACCUCUGUUAGCAGGGAAGAAGAGAGAUUGACGGUACCUGCAGAGAAAGCGCCGGCUAACUACGUGCCAGCAGCCGCGGUAAUACGUAGGGCGCGAGCGUUGUCCGGAAUUAUUGGGCGUAAAGAGCUUGUAGGCGGUUUGUCGCGUCUGCUGUGAAAGGCCGGGGCUUAACUCCGUGUAUUGCAGUGGGUACGGGCAGACUAGAGUGCAGUAGGGGAGACUGGAAUUCCUGGUGUAGCGGUGGAAUGCGCAGAUAUCAGGAGGAACACCGAUGGCGAAGGCAGGUCUCUGGGCUGUAACUGACGCUGAGAAGCGAAAGCAUGGGGAGCGAACAGGAUUAGAUACCCUGGUAGUCCAUGCCGUAAACGUUGGGCACUAGGUGUGGGGAACAUUCCACGUUUUCCGCGCCGUAGCUAACGCAUUAAGUGCCCCGCCUGGGGAGUACGGCCGCAAGGCUAAAACUCAAAGAAAUUGACGGGGGCCCGCACAAGCGGCGGAGCAUGCGGAUUAAUUCGAUGCAACGC
rnacentral:rRNA from 1 species